rnacentral:rRNA from 1 species
GAAACUUAAAGGAAUUGGCGGGGGAGCACUACAACCGGAGGAGCCUGCGGUUUAAUUGGACUCAACGCCGGACAUCUCACCAGCCCCGACAUCAGUAAUGACAGUCAUGUUGACGACAUCCGCUACGAGCUGAUGAGAGGAGGUGCAUGGCCGCCGUCAGCUCGUACCGUGAGGCAUCCUGUUAAGUCAGGCAACGAGCGAGAUCCACGUCCCUAAUUGCCAGCACCAUCGCCAGAUGGGUGGGUACAUUAGGGAGACUGCCAGUGCUAAACUGGAGGAAGGAAUGGGCAACGGUAGGUCAGUAUGCCCCGAAUGGGCUGGGCAACACGCGGGCUACAAUGGUCAGGACAAUGGGUUCCAACGCUGAGAAGCGACGGUAAUCUCCCAAACCUGGUCGUAGUUCGGAUUGCGGACUGAAACUCGUCCGCAUGAAGCUGGAUUCGGUAGUAAUCGCGUGUCAGCAGCGCGCGGUGAAUACGUCCCUGCUCCUUGCACACACCGCCCGUCAAAGCACCCGAGUGAGGUCCGGAUGAGGCCACGUUCCCGUGGUCAAAUCUGGGCUUCGCAAGGGGGCUUAAGUCGUAACAA